GAUGAACGCUAGCGGCGGGCCUAAUACAUGCAAGUCGAGGGGCAUCGCGGGUAGCAAUACUUGGCGGCGACCGGCGCACGGGUGCGUAACGCGUAUGCAACCUGCCCUUAACACGGGGAUAGCCCUCCGAAAGGAGGAUUAAUACCCGAUGGUAUGUAGGAAUGACAUCGUUUUUACAUUAAAGAUUUAUCGGUUAAGGAUGGGCAUGCGUCUGAUUAGCUAGUUGGGGGGGUAACGGCCCACCAAGGCGACGAUCAGUAGGGGUUCUGAGAGGAUGAUCCCCCACACCGGUACUGAGACACGGACCGGACUCCUACGGGAGGCAGCAGUAAGGAAUAUUGGUCAAUGGGCGGAAGCCUGAACCAGCCACGCCGCGUGCAGGAAGAAGGCCCUACGGGUUGUAAACUGCUUUUAUACGGGAAGAACCGCCCUCCUGCGGGGGGGUAUGACGGUACCGUAGGAAUAAGCAUCGGCUAACUCCGUG
rnacentral:rRNA from 1 species